GUGGAAAAGGUCCAGUUUACAUAAAAGUGGUCUCGGAUAAACUUGGCGAUUGCAUCAUGAACGCAAUAUUUUCCACGGGAUCUCUGAAAAUCAUCCUCACUGCCUUGAGAAGACCCCUGAUCUUCGCAUUC